AAACAUAAUUAAAUGUGUACACAAACCACAAGUCUAAUCUAAACCCAAUGAUCAAUAUGAAGGGAAUGUUGGACAAAAUCCAGAAAAUUGGCCUAGAGAUGCUA